rnacentral:misc_RNA from 1 species
CGUUUACCAACUAGACAUAAAAUGCAUCACAUUAGCACCAUGGCCUUGACACAAGACAUUAGAUAUUCAUAAUUAGUUACAUCUGGUUAGUUUUCAAUUACAAUAUCUGGCUUAAUAUCUGUGUCGAAGACCACCACUGAAUCCAGAUGGAUCUGCCCUGAUAACAGGCAUUCCAAGCCGGUCCAAUCGACCAGAACCAGGAUAAGCUUUACCAGUGAAGUUGGCAUAAAAAGAACCCUUUUGUGAGUUGUUUCUUGACUCACUGUACCCGUGAAUCGAGUACCUUUUUGUUGAACUUGAUCUCUCAUAGUGAGGCCUUUGUUUAGGUGCGCUCAUUGAACGUACCUUGGCCUUCGAGGACUCUGUGUAGGACAUGUAGUUGGGAUGAUCAGAGUAACCACUCAUAUAGCUUCUUGAACCGUCGCUCUUAGUUGGUGUAAAAGGUCCUCUCUUUGAACUACCGCCCUUUGAUGAAGCCGAGUAAAACUGAGGGCUAUUGUCAGCAGUGCAGAAGCAAGCUUCAUCAAGAUCUUCAUUGAACUUCAGGGGACUAAGGGGUUGAUUUCCACAGGACGAUGGACUGGGAACCGUUUGAUGAGCUGUUGAUUCCUUCGACGUUGUUAAGCUAUAGCUGUAUUGGUCAGAGUUCAAGCAAAGAUGUGAGGAGUGGAAGAGGUUCCUUUGUUUAGGCGUAACAUAUGGUUUCCCGGUAUCUAUCUCGAGGAUCUUGUCACUCUUUUCGUCAUCAAUAGAACUAGUUCUUGCAGAAGAUCCUUGAGGUCUAAUUCGUGCCUUUUCCGAGUCAAUGACCUUCCAAUUUGAUUUAGAGGUAUUCCUCUUGAGCACAGAUGUUUCAUCAUGCUUCAAGCUCCUUGCGCGGAUAACAUGCUCAAAUUUCUCUGGAGUUGUAGGAUCAUGAACAAAUUGAACAGACUUAGUGCUUGAAUGAGGGGAUCCUGAGACCUGAGAUCGUCCAGCACGAGCCCUCGACUGAGCUCUGGAUAUUGCUUGCAUUUGCCGUAGAUAAUCAGCAGUCUGUCGCCUAAUAAUGUGACCUCUCACCAGUGCUUGAAGCUUCACCAGUCCCUUUAACGCGCGUAAAGCUCUCCUCGACAAAUAAGCUCGGAAAUGUGAUUGAAUAACAACGGCGGCCCAAUUUUCACGGUUGCCGGCGGCGACUCCCUUUCUUUUACAACCCACCGCAGAGGAGGUAAGAGAAACGCCGUUCCACGUCGUAACAGCAGCGGCACCGCCAUUAGUUGCAGUAGUAGCUCUACCACUAUUAGUAAGCUUCACCACCGCCGCCGCGGCUUGAGCGGCGGCGAUAGCAGCUUCCGCUACAACGGCGGUUGCUUCCGCCACCGCAAUCGCUCGCUUUGACGAAUCAACACUACACCCAACAGCGCCGUUUUGAAGUGAAUUCGACACAACCCGACCAUAGUUUGAUGAUUCUUUAUCAGUUCCCUUUACAAAGUUAGAGUCUUUUUCUCUGUAAGAUUUAACAAAGCUCCAUUUUUUCUUUGUGGGUUUUGGAUUUUGGUUAGAGG